UGCGACCGGCGCACGGGUGAGUAACACGUAUCCAACCUGCCGAUGACUCGGGGAUAGCCUUUCGAAAGAAAGAUUAAUACCCGAUGGCAUAGUUCUUCCGCAUGGUAGAACUAUUAAAGAAUUUCGGUCAUCGAUGGGGAUGCGUUCCAUUAGGUUGUUGGCGGGGUAACGGCCCACCAAGCCUUCGAUGGAUAGGGGUUCUGAGAGGAAGGUCCCCCACAUUGGAACUGAGACACGGUCCAA
rnacentral:rRNA from 1 species